rnacentral:rRNA from 1 species
GAUAUUGCACAAUGGACGGAAGUCUGAUGCAGCGACGCCGCGUGGGUGAAGAAGGUUUUCGGAUCGUAAAGCCCUUUUCUAUGUGACGAGAGAGGACGGUAGCAUAGGAAUAAGUGUCGGCUAACUACGUGCCAGCAGCCGCGGUAAAACGUAGGACGCGAACGUUAUCCGGAGUUACUGGGCGUAAAGCGCGCGUAGGCGGUUAUUUAAGUUACCUAUGAAAGAUACAGGCUAAACUUGUAUUGGUUAGGUAAAACUGGAUAACUAGAGAGAAAUAGAGGGAAGUAGAAUUCCGGGUGUAGUGGCGAAAUGCGUAGAUAUCCGGAGGAAUACCAGUGGCGAAGGCGGCUUCCUGGAUUUCCACUGACGCUGAGGCGCGAAAGCGUGGGUAGCGAACGGGAUUAGAAACCCCGGUAGUCCACGCCGUA